GUGAGGAAUAUUGCGCAAUGGAGGCAACUCUGACGCAGCCAUGCCGCGUGCAGGAAGAAGGCGCUACGCGUUGUAAACUGCUUUUAACCGGGAAGAAACCCCAGGACGUGUCCUGGGUUGACGGUACUGGAGGAAUAAGCACCGGCUAACUUCGUGCCAGCAGCCGCGGUAAUACGAAGGGUGCAAGCGUUAUCCGGAUUCAUUGGGUUUAAAGGGUGCGUAGGCGGAGCGUUAAGUCAGUGGUGAAAUCCUGCAGCUUAACUGUAGACUUGCCAUUGAUACUGGCGCUCUUGAGUGCGCUUGAAGUGGGCGGAAUGUGCCGUGUAGCGGUGAAAUGCUUAGAUAUGGCACAGAACACCAAUUGCGAAGGCAGCUCACUAAGGCGAUACUGACGCUGAGGCACGAAAGCGUGGGGAUCGAACAGGAUUAGAAACCCGUGUAGUCC
rnacentral:rRNA from 1 species